UAUAAUCUCUCCGUGUGUUUUCAGCUCAUUUCGUCCGUCGAUCCGAAGUUCCUGAAGUUGACCAAACUGGACGAUAAAAUCUACUCGCUGUUCAGAGAAACGUUCAAAGAUCUCGACAUCAAAGUGCUGAAAGCCGAGGACCUGAAAUCUGACAAAGCCAAAGAGACGUGGCGUCCGUUCUGUAACCAGUUUGACGGCCUUAUAGAAGAUUUCAACUACGGCACUCUGCUGCGUCUGGACUGCGAGAAGGAUUACACGGAGGAAAACACCAUAUUCGCCACCAGAGCUCAAUUCUUCGCUGUUGAAAUCGCCCGAAACCGAGAAGGCUACAACGACGCUGUGUUCAAGUCCAAAACCUCAAAGAGUUAGCCUUCUAAUAAUUAACCAGUAACCAACCAGUAACCAACCAGUAACCAACCAGUAACCAACCAGUACCGGACCCAUCCAACCACCACCGGGACGUCCCUGCACUCAGAGGGGGGGGCAGCUCUUUAUUUUCAUGUUUUAUGGAAACAAUCAAUGUUCAGUUUGUCUGGUUAAAAUCAAUGUUGGACACAUUUUGUAUUUACUGUAAAGUUUUAUUGUUCCGAUCAUAAUGGUUGUUUUUGUUUAUUAAACGCCAAAGUUGCAUUUGUUCACCCGUAACCGUGGAAACGAUAUAAAUGAAUAAAAGUCAGACAUUUUACCACCCAGAGUUUUAUUGAUCAUUCAGUAGUUUUUAAUGUUUAUCAGAGUUGAAAGGAUUUUAGUCAUCAGACGUCUGGAUCUUAAGUUAUCAGAGAAACAAGCUGAGCUAACGUUAGCAGCAGCUCGGCUCGCAGCCCCUCCGGGACGUCCUUUGUCUGUCCAACAGCGUGGGAGAAGCAGUGAUUUUUAAGGUGGAACUGCUUUAUUCAGUGUGUUUAAGGUGGAACUGCUUUAU